rnacentral:lncRNA from 12 species
AGGAGCGCUCCUGUGGAGGUUAGGUGCCUGGCUGCAGAUGCAGCCUCCUUUUUCUCCCCCCUAAAAGAAGGCUGGGGGAGGGUGACUUUUCUGGCAGCUCUGUUGUCCUCUCACUUCCCACACUUGUCUAGGUGGGUGUGAGGACACUUGGGGAAAAAACAAAGGUGGUGAGAGGAGCCUUCGCUUGCAGGGGUCCCUGCCACUCGGCUGGUGGAGAUGCCCAACAAUUCCAGACAGUGAGACUUUGACCCCAACAAAAUCAGCCCGGAGGCCCCUGCACCCCCCUGGUGGAGAGCUGGCUCCUCACGGCCUGGCCCUGGGCCCUGAGACCAGCUGAGCUGGGGAAGUUGGGCCGAGCAGAGAGAACCGUCCCCAGCCUGCCGGACCACCAGACAGCCGGACAGCUACCCUUGGUGCCGUGGCCAUUCCAGGCCCGCAGACAAAGAGCAGCCUGUGCAGCGUCACAUUUGAGGGUCAGACAGACUGUUCCAUGACCUAAUGCCUCUACUGUAAAGAAUGUGUCCCCUGAGAAUCGCAGCCACCAGAAGAAAGUGACACAUUCCAAGUAACCCAGAGGAAAAUGGGUAACACUGGUUUGGCAAAGGAAUUUGAAGAGCGGCACUCAUGGUUGGAGCUGUCUCAGCACAGCAAAACAAGAAGACAUGUAAAAGGAUAAUAGUGGAGGAAACCAGCCACCCUCUCCAACGUUCUGAUUGCUUACAAACAGGGGAAGAACUUCAAAUAUCUACCCAGUGUCUUCCUUUUGACCUUUGGAAGGAAAGCAAGAGCUUCGAAAGGAACUCCCACGACACCUGCUUCUCCUCAUGGAGCAUGAGGGUUUUCCCCAUCUCUUUCCCUAAAAGCCACAGAUACAAGUCCAGCAACUCCUCGUGCAAAGCAGCCAGGAGCAGCUCAGCCCUGAAAAAAACAGAAUGUACAACGAAGGGUGGACCGGUCGGGCGCCCCACUCCGGGGGCAGGCUCCGCAGCCAGCGAUCGGAAUGGAUUUAGGAUCGAGAAGAUCCGCAAAGGCGAGCGUCCACCGGGGCUGGAGACGGCCGAGUGCGGGCGUGCGGCCUUUCUUCCCCGGCGGGCGGAAACCUCCUUUCCACGGUGGCAACAACUCCUGGAAAACAGAAAAUCGCGCGAGCAGGAGAGCGGCGGCGCCUGCCUGCGGCCCGGGCGCGCGGAGAGCUCCCUCUCCGGGACCCCGGGCGCGUCGCGCUUGCAGGCUCCAGGCGGGGUGGGGGCCCGCGCGCGCCGGCCUGCUCCGCGAGCCAGAGGGAAGGGCCGCCCCGCAGCACCCCGGAAGGGCCUGGAGGCGUCUCGGGCCAGCGGCCAGCGCAGGCCUCCGCUCCCGGGGACAGCGGUCGCCGCGGCCGAGGCGGGGGUGGGGCGCCCCGCGCUGCAGCCUCCCGUCGUGCGCGGGCCCCGCGGAGCUGGCCGAGGGGCGGGAGCCGGCGGUGCGCGCGGGGGAGGCGGGGGCGGCGGGGGCGCGGGCCUUUGCUCGCUCGAGUGUGACCCGGGCUCUCCCUUCCAGGGGUGGCCGCCCCGGUCGGGGGCGCGGCUCCUCCACCUCUCUCGCUGCAGCGUCGGGUGGGGUGAGGGGUCCCUCGCCGGGGCUUCCAGCGCGGGACCCCCAGGAGGCCCCGGAGCAGAUUUCGUCCGGGGGUCCCCUUCCGCCUGCGCAUCAGAGAAAGCAGCGAAGCCCCGGGCAGGCGCGGUUUAGGGGUGACUCC